CGGCCCCGGGCGCUGCCCGGGGCCGCGGCCCGCGCUCACAGCGCGGUGGUGCUGCCGCCGGCGGCGGCGAUCUUCUCGGCCGCGGAGCCGG
rnacentral:tRNA from 1 species